UAGAACCUAGACCUACAUAGACCUAAUGCCUAAUGACCUAUAGCUCGACCUUAUCAGCGAAAAAUGCACAAAAAUACAGGCUAAAAACAAAACCUAGAGGACCUAGGAGACCUGAUGAACAUCGUUUGUGAGAAGAACCCACCCUCUUGAAUCCAUGUUCUUCACACCACCACAAAUCAAUAGCCAUCAGCGAACCCUAGCCCUGCUCCAAACACCAGCAGCUGCAACACCACACACACAACACUGACGACUGAACCUUUCCACCGUUUCAACCCAAACUCGUCGGCCAUACCUAUCUCCAGCCACCUUCACUGAACCAGUAGCCCGUCGGAGAAAAGUCGCACACACACAAACAGAGUGAGGGAACGAGCAGAGCUAGAAUAGAUAGACACGCACAAAAAUUGAAAAUUGUACAAAAAGUACUUCAUCUUCUCCAUUCUCGAUUUGGUUCUUAGUUUUCUGCAACAUGGAGUUUAAUUGAUGUUUGGAGCCGAAUUUGAAUUUGAAUCAUGUGGAGGUCGCGAUUGAAGAUAGUCUGUUUCGAAUUCGACGAGGUUUAGAUUUUGCUUGCGAUUUUAUGCCCGACUUUCUGUUGUUGUUUUUGCAUGAAUUUGGAAGUUUAACAUUUAAAUCAGGCGAUUGCAAAGGUUUCAUUCUUUCUCUGAACCGAUCUUUUGUUUAUUGUUAUAGAAUAACAUGAUUUUCUUAUGAAUUUGGUUUGGAUGGUGAGUUUAUCAUUUGUUCAUUCUCUGACUCGAUCUUU
rnacentral:lncRNA from 1 species